rnacentral:rRNA from 1 species
UACGGAGGAGGCAAGCGUUAUCCGGAAUUAUUGGCGUAAAGCGUCCGCAGGUGGCACCUCAAGUCUGCUGUCAAAGACCGGGGCUUAACCCCAGAAAGGCAGUGGAAACUGAAGUGCUAGAGUGCAGUAGGGGUAGAGGGAAUUCCCGGUGUAGCGGUGAAAUGCGUAGAGAUCGGGAAGAACAUCGGUGGCGAAGGCGGCCUGCUGGGCAGUAGCUGACACUGAGGCGCGACAGCGUGGGGAGCAAACAGG